GAGCACUGUUUGGACGAGGGGCCCCUCUCGGGUUACCGAAUUCAGACAAACUCCGAAUGCCAAUUAAUUUAACUUGGGAGUCAGAACAUGGGUGAUAAGGUCCGUGUUCGAAAGGGAAACAGCCCAGACCACCAGCUAAGGUCCCAAAAUAUAUGUUAAGUGGAAAAGGAUGUGGCGUUGCCCAGACAACUAGGAUGUUGGCUUAGAAGCAGCCAUCAUUUAAAGAGUGCGUAAUAGCUCACUAGUCGAGUGACACUGCGCCGAAAAUGUACCGGGGCUAAACAUAUUACCGAAGCUGUGGAUUGUCCUUUGGACAAUGGUAGGAGAGCGUUCUAAGGGCGUUGAAGCAUGAUCGUAAGGACAUGUGGAGCGCUUAGAAGUGAGAAUGCCGGUGUGAGUAGCGAAAGACGGGUGAGAAUCCCGUCCACCGAUUGACUAAGGUUUCCAGAGGAAGGCUC
rnacentral:rRNA from 1 species